AGUUGUUAAAUAGAAGAUGUUUUUUUCCUGUUGUUCUGUCAUUUCAAUGCCUCUUGCCAACAAAGGAGUCCCCUAUGUAAAUAUUAGCAAUGAUAAAGGAUGGACACAUUUUUGAGGGAAAAGAUCCAACAGGCACAUGACAAAGGAUUUCCCGACAGAACAGAUCUUCUCACGACUCAGAGCUAAUUUGAAUGAUUGAGCUGUUGAACCAGAUUCAUCAAAAGCAGGAAGGGCAUUUUGUUCAAUAGAAUAAAUGCUAUUGCUAAGUUUUGAAGAUUAAGUUCAACCAAAAUAUUUACAUCUUGAUCCAUGUCUGCUUUUUAACUGGCCAGAGCCCCAAGUAUUGGUGUCUGGAAACUAUCCAGAUCAUUUCUGGUUUGUUGCUCUCUGGAAAAAGGCAGACAUUGAUUUCCCUUCCUUUUCAAGUAUGUUUUAGUGAAGUGUGGUAGCUAUACUAUAUGUAUGCUGUCUUUCACCACAAAUGUAUUUGGUGUUUGUUCACAGUCAAAAUGCAGACAUGUCUGAACAAAGAUUCUUAGAAGAAAAAGUGUAGAACCCACUUUAUAUGUGCAGCCUAAGAAGAAUAGUUUAAGGAACUGUUCCACCAUGGCCACCAAGACUUGGAGAGGCAAGUUGGUCUGCUGAGGAAAAUGUAGGAAAAUUAUGCUGUAUCCAGCCAGAAAAAUACCAGCUCUUGAGUUUGCCUUCACAGCACAGAACAGCACCCCCUUAAAGCUAGCCCAGCAGCCUCACACACCCAAACCCCCAUGCCAAGCACUAUGCCUGGCCCCUGAAGGCAGUACAGCCACACCAAACACCAGCUCACUGCUCUCCUCUCAUGCAGGCUUUGCUCCUUUGCUCCAUUGUUUGAUGCAGACAUACACAGCGUUCCCAAGACUUCAGCAAUGAAGCUGUGGAAGCUACAAGACUUCCAAAGGUGCAGGAAGAUACACAGGUUGCUGUGUUCCAUGGAGUGCCUUGAAACAAAGCAGCAUGUCACCCUGGAGUCUGACCUGUGCUAAGCUCAAAGCAUUCUUCCUCCUAUGGCUGUAAAUUUGGCAGCACUCUCUGAACUCAUCCACCUUCUUAGAUACAAAUAAACCUUUAUUUCAGGCCAAGGGUGUUCAGCUCUUUACCUAUUCUUCCCAAGAAGAAAACAGCUGUUUUGGCAAGGACUUCUCAUCCUUCAUCUGGAGGCUAUGGAUCCAAGGACGUCUUCAAUGAAAAGCUGUUGCCUCAAAAUGCACCACACAAUUCUUCUUGUCCCAGAACAUACAUUAACCCCAGGCUGGUAAUUAAUUUCUAAUCAAAUCUGAUAAAUAGAAGAAGGUGAUUGACUUAGCUCUGCAUGAAGAGCAAGCUGUGCCCUGUCACCUUAUCUGGGGUUUGCAGCAACUAUUAGUCAGGAGACUGGAAUCAUGAUGAGAAACAUAGAUUCCCACACUUAACAGCACCUGGGAAGAUGGCAAAGUUUAUUCUCAGUCUGAAUCUGGACUUUCACCUGUGUAUCACAGCUUCAAGGCACUUCUUUAGGAAAUAAGUAUUUCACUCUGGUCUCUAACCAUUAAACUCACAUAAAAGACUAGUGGCAGCAUGACAAGCACCAGCUGUGUUAGCAUGAUUCCAAUGGAAGUGACAUUAUUGACCUGGGAGAGGAGCCCAUGCACGUGGUACCUUUCCCUGCCAGACCUGCUCUGAAGAUGCAGAGAGGAUUUACCACCUCUUCUCAUUCCAGUCAUGAUUAAACAGGAACAUAGGCUGAGAUAAAUUAGCUGAUGCAGUUGAAGGUAUAUGAAAAAGCAGAACUUUUCAGGAUGAAAGAGUAAGAGUUCUAGAGGACUCACACAUCUAAUGGGAUUCUGCAGCCACCAAGGAAAAUAAUUUCUGCACUGGAUUUCGAAGUUACAUCAAAUGAAUGCAGGCACCAGCCUCCCAUGCAAGGCAUUUUGGCCUCUCUGGGGACGAUGUAGGACAUUUCCAAGCUGUGAGCACAGGACUCCUGCAUGAAGGGCUGCAUUCAUGCUCUGCUGUUGCAAGAACCCUGCAUAAGAUGCAGUGCUGUGCUGCACACGCUGGUGCAUUGGGACAGCUCAUGCAGGCACAGCCCAGUGCAAUCUGCAUCAGCUCUGCUUUCUGUGCUGUCUGUAGGCUGUUCCUCAUGCUCCUACCCCAAACCAUAAUCCAAUAAAAGAAUUAUAAAAAUGCAACAGAAAUAAAAAUUCUUCUUGAUAUUUCCUACUGACUAACAUAAGUACAUGCCCUGGUUCCUGCCAAGCACGUAGGCUGCUGAAGAUCCCAUUCUGGGCUCCUUUGCUCAUCCUCUGCACAGGAGAGGGAUCCAAAGCACCAAGUGGAGGGGUCUAAGUCUCUUUCAGGAGCCCAGGUACCUAGGAGGUGUUGCAAUGUCACAUGCUGGAACACUAUUCCAUUUUAAUAUUUACAAGGAAAGAGGGAAGCCUUCAUUGAAGACCUAAGCAACUGGCAAUGGAUAAAGAAACUUGGCCCUUUUAUCCAGAAUAAAAAAAAG